rnacentral:rRNA from 1 species
CACGUAGGGCGCAAGCGUUGUCCGGAAUUAUUGGGCGUAAAGGGUAGGUAGGUGGUCUCAUUUGUCUGGGGUGAAAGCCUUGAGCUUAACUCAAGAAGUGCCCCAGAAACGGUGAGACUGGAGUCCUGGAGAGGGUCGUGGAAUUCCCGGUGUAGCGGUGAAAUGCGUAGAGAUCGGGAGGAACACCAGAGGCGAAAGCGGCGACCUGGACAGGUACUGACACUCAACUACGAAAGCGUGGGGAGCAAACAGG